CUCGUGGCUAAUAUCCACGGGGUUUGACGGUACCAGCAGAAGGAAGCCACGGCUAACUCUGUGCCAUGCAGCCGCGGUAAUACAGAGGUGGCAAGCGUUGUUCGGAAUUAUUGGGCGUAAAGCGCGCGCAGGCGGGAUUGCAAGUCGGAUGUGAAAGCCCUCGGCUCAACCGGGGAAGUGCAUCUGAAACUGCAGUUCUUGAGUGUCGGAGGGGGUGGCGGAAUUCCCGGUGUAGAGGU
rnacentral:rRNA from 1 species